UCUAACUGGAUCAGACCGGACAGCGACAGCAACCUGAGGGAAGAGAAAGCAGGGACGCUCAAGUGGGGAUACAAGUCAAAGGCUUCUGGAUGAACAGAACGUAUCUCGAUGACAGCUGAGUCUGUUCAGUGGAUCGAGGCAGAGCAGAAUAACCAGAAGCAUAGUCGCCCAGAAGAGGUGGCAUGCUCUCCCUUUCUCAGAAUAGUCCUGCGAGCUACAGAAAGGGCUCUCAGAACUUUUGCAGACCGCAAACAUCAAAAGGACCAGAGAUAUUUUUAUAGUGAUUCGGCUGCCCACGGCAAUGCAGUCAACCUUGAUUUUCUUUCAGCCUGGGAAGCGAUCAGCAAAGAGGCUCAGCAAACAGCUUUAACAUCUGAGGCCAAAAAAGAAGCAUAAAAAUUUGCUUUCAUAAACACCUCCUGGGAAGGUUGAUGCCUUAUUUCCUCUUGUUUUUUUCUUUUUUAAAGAAGGCUACCUUUCUUAUUUCCAUGGGCACUUUUCCUUGUGGUCCUCAGAGUUGGCUGACUCUUGUUCCAGCUAGCAUGUCGGUCAGCUUCUUCAGUAGUUCCACAUCUACUGUGCCUCCCUGAACAGCCUUUUCUCUGCCUGAGAAAUCAGUCUUCAAGACCAAGCCCUGGGAUAAAAUGGUCCUUUUAUCUUUAGCAAUGGACACCCCACAGAAAGCAGUGCCCCUAGCUUCCGGCUAAGGUAACCCGGCCAUUGAGCGUGAUUGGGUAUGAGCAAGACCCUGUGAUUUCCUUUCCUAAAUCACAAAGUGCGAUUUGGCCACACCCAUCUUCCACGGGAAAUCUCUUAGGAUGCCUCUCAGAGGAAAUGGAGAAGCUGGAGGAGGGCCACAGACCAGAGGAUUAUAAUGAAACUGGCUUCCAAGAAUGGAAAAUUUCUAAACUUUAAUGCUAUGUCGGAAUUUUAAUGAAACCCCUAAGUGGGGAGUAAACAGGGCAAAGGAAACAUGGAAAGAAAUAGAGGAGGCUUUCUCAUACAGGUUGCUGGUAUGAAUAUGACAGCUAACACUACCACAAUUUUAUUUUAGCGAAAAACCAAAUAUGGGUCUGUUUUGAUAUAGCUGACCAAGAAAUAGGUUGUGUCUCUUGUCCACGUUCUUCACAUAGUAGAGCUCCUGAGAGAACUUGAAAGACUUCCGAGAGAAGAAUGUCAUCUCUCUUUCCAAAGAAUGCAGGACCAGAGAACACAGACCUGGUUUCCCAUGGAGCCUAAACACCACCCCUGUCAGCAGUGAGGUCUAUUGGCUCCACAUUAAGCUGACAAGAGCUAUCAGUGCUGUUCCUUAAAGGGAGGUUUUUCAUCUAACCUAACUUGCUAGGCAAUCAGUCCCAUUGCCUGGGACUGAGCUACGUUAAUGGCUGAUUCUAAUUCUUAGAGGUGAAGCCAUCCUUGUUGCUGGUGUGAAAUGCUAAUCACAGGCUCUCUACCAGACUCUGCAGUAUAAUCUUCCCUUCACAAAGUGUCUGUCUUAUUAUUAUUUGUGUGUGGAUGGAUGUGCAUGCCAUGGUGUACAUGUGGAGGACAGAGGAAAGCUUUGUGAGGUUAGAUCUCCCCUUCUACAGAUUGCACUCAGGUUACCAGGCUUGUGUGGUAAGCAUCAUCACCCACUGAGCCAUCUUGCUGGCCCUGCAUUGUAAUAUUAAUUCAUUGUCUCUUUCAGAUGCCACAGUUCAUAUCUGUCAAGCUCUAUGUGCUGUGGUCUGAAUGUGAUAUGUCCACCUAUAGGCCCAUGUGUUUGAGCAUUUUUGUCCCCAGCAAAUGGUGCUGUUUGGGAAGGCUGUGGAAUGUUUAGAUGGGGAGCUUUGCUGAAGGAGGACUGGUAGAGGGGUUGUCUUAGUUAGGGUUGUAUUGCUGUGAAGAGACGAUAGCCAUGGCAACCCUUAUAGAGGACAACAUUUAG
rnacentral:sRNA from 1 species